ACGCUGGCGGCAGGCCUAACACAUGCAAGUCGAGCGGUAGAGAGAAGCUUGCUUCUCUUGAGAGCGGCGGACGGGUGAGUAAUGCCUAGGAAUCUGCCUGGUAGUGGGGGAUAACGUUCGGAAACGGACGCUAAUACCGCAUACGUCCUACGGGAGAAAGCAGGGGACCUUCGGGCCUUGCGCUAUCAGAUGAGCCUAGGUCGGAUUAGCUAGUUGGUGAGGUAAUGGCUCACCAAGGCGACGAUCCGUAACUGGUCUGAGAGGAUGAUCAGUCACACUGGAACUGAGACACGGUCCAGACUCCUACGGGAGGCAGCAGUGGGGAAUAUUGGACAAUGAGCGAAAGCCUGAUCCAGCCAUGCCGCGUGUGUGAAGAAGGUCUUCGGAUUGUAAAGCACUUUAAGUUGGGAGGAAGGGCAUUAACCUAAUACGUUAGUGCUUUGACGUUACCGACAGAAUAAGCACCGGCUAACUCUGUGCCAGCAGCCGCGGUAAUACAGAGGGUGCAAGCGUUAAUCGGAAUUACUGGGCGUAAAGCGCGCGUAGGUGGUUUGUUUAGUUGGAUGUGAAAUCCCCGGGCUCAACCUGGGAACUGCAUUCAAAACUGACUGACUAGAGUAUGGUAGAGGGUGGUGGAAUUUCCUGUGUAGCGGUGAAAUGCGUAGAUAUAGGAAGGAACACCAGUGGCGAAGGCGACCACCUGGACUAAUACUGACACUGAGGUGCGAAAGCGUGGGGAGCAAAC
rnacentral:rRNA from 1 species